rnacentral:rRNA from 2 species
GUCGAGCGGGCGUAGCAAUACGUCAGCGGCAGACGGGUGAGUAACGCGUGGGAACGUACCUUUUGGUUCGGAACAACACAGGGAAACUUGUGCUAAUACCGGAUAAGCCCUUACGGGGAAAGAUUUAUCGCCGAAAGAUCGGCCCGCGUCUGAUUAGCUAGUUGGUAGGGUAACGGCCUACCAAGGCGACGAUCAGUAGCUGGUCUGAGAGGAUGAUCAGCCACAUUGGGACUGAGACACGGCCCAAACUCCUACGGGAGGCAGCAGUGGGGAAUAUUGGACAAUGGGGGCAACCCUGAUCCAGCCAUGCCGCGUGAGUGAUGAAGGCCCUAGGGUUGUAAAGCUCUUUUGUGCGGGAAGAUAAUGACGGUACCGCAAGAAUAAGCCCCGGCUAACUUCGUGCCAGCAGCCGCGGUAAUACGAAGGGGGCUAGCGUUGCUCGGAAUCACUGGGCGUAAAGGGUGCGUAGGCGGGUCUUUAAGUCAGGGGUGAAAUCCUGGAGCUCAACUCCAGAACUGCCUUUGAUACUGAAGAUCUUGAGUUCGGG